GACGUAGGGCGCGAGCGUUGUCCGGAUUUAUUGGGCGUAAAGAGCUCGUAGGCGGCUUGUCGCGUCGUCCGUGAAAACCCAUGGCUCAACUGUGGGCUUGCGGUUGAUACUGCCAUGCUUGAGUACGGAAGAGGGGAGUGGAAUUCCCAGUGUAGAGGUGAAAUUCGUAGAUAUUGGGAGGAACACCGGUGGCGAAGGCGGCUCCCUGGUCCGAUACUGACGCUCAUGUGCGAAAGCGUGGGGAGCAAACAGGG
rnacentral:rRNA from 1 species